rnacentral:rRNA from 1 species
CACGUAGUUAGCCGGGGCUUCUUAGUCAGGUACCGUCAUUUUCUUCCCUGCUGAUAGAGCUUUACAUACCGAAAUACUUCUUCACUCACGCGGCGUCGCUGCAUCAGGGUUUCCCCCAUUGUGCAGUAUUCCCCACUGCUGCCUCCCGUAGGAGUUUGGGCCGUGUCUCAGUCCCAAUGUGGCCGUUCACCCUCUCAGGCCGGCUACUGAUCGUCGCUUUGGUAGGCCGUUACCCUGCCAACUGGCUAAUCAGACGCGGGUCCAUCUCACACCGAUAAAUCUUUUCCAACCAGAGCAUGCGCCCCUGUUGGCUUAUGCGGUAUUAGCGGUCGUUUCCAACUGUUAUCCCCCUGUCGUGAGGCAGGUUACCCACGCGUUACUCACCCGUCGCCACUCAGUCACAAAGACUUCAUCCGAAGAAUCGUUCUAAGUGCUUCGUUCGACUUUGCAUGUGUUAAGCACGCCGCCAGCGUUCAUCCUGAGUCCAGGAUCAAAACUCU